GGAAUUUUGGACAAUGGGGGCAACCCUGAUCCAGCCAUUCCGCGUGAGUGAAGAAGGCCUUCGGGUUGUAAAGCUCUUUUGUCCGGAACGAAACGGCUACGUCUAAUACACGUGGCUACUGACGGUACCGUAAGAAUAAGCACCGGCUAACUUCGUGCCAGCAGCCGCGGUAAUACGAAGGGUGCAAACGUUGCUCGGAAUCAUUGGGCGUAAAGCGCACGUAGGCGGCUUCGCAAGUCGGAUGUGAAAUCCCUCGGCUCAACCGAGGACGUGCACCCGAAACUGCGGGGCUUGAGUACUGAAGAGGAUCGCGGAAUUCCCGGUGUAGAGGUGAAAUUCGUAGAUAUCGGGAGGAACACCAGUGGCGAAGGCGGCGAUCUGGGCAGAUACUGACGCUGAGGUGCGAAAGCGUGGGGAGCAAAC
rnacentral:rRNA from 1 species